rnacentral:rRNA from 1 species
GACGAACGCUGGCGGCGUGCUUAACACAUGCAAGUCGAACGGAAGGGCCCUGCUUUUGUUGCGUUCUCGAGUGGCGAACGGGUGAGUAACACGUGUGUAACCUGCCCUUGACUUUGUGAUAACUUCAGGAAACUGGGGCUAUUACCCGAUAUGAUCUCCUGCUGCAUGGUGUUGGUUGGAAAGUUUCGGCGGUUGGGGCUGGACUCGCGGCUUAUCAGCUUGUUGGUGUGGUAGUUGCUUACCAAGGCUUUGACGGGUAGCCGGCAUGAGAGGGUGAACGGGCACAUUGGGACUGAGAUACGGCCCAGACGCCUAUGGGAGGCAGCAGUGGGGAAUAUUGCACAAUGGGCGGAAGUCUGAUGCAGAAACGCCGCGUGCGGGAUGACGGCCUUCGGGUUGUAAACCGCUUUCGCCUGUGACGAAGCGUGAGUGACGGUAAUGGGUAAAGAAGCACCGGCUAACUACGUG